AACUAGCCCCGAUUGCAGCGGCAUCCUUUUUUGAGGAGGAACGACGAGGAAAAGAUACAGCGGAAAGUGGGAUUUAGC
rnacentral:sRNA from 2 species